rnacentral:lncRNA from 1 species
GGAUUCUUGGCCCAGGUGAGACCUGCCCUGAGCCCAGGACCAAUUCUCCAUGGAUGGCCGCUGCUCACCUACUAGAAGGGCAAACCUGAGAAGACUGAUAUUAUGUGAUGCUGCUGGGGAAAUGGGCAUUCACACGUACUGUGCAGUGGUGUGCAUGUGUGUGAGCGUGCACGCAGGCAUGUGUGCAUGUGAACAUGUGUGCAAUUUGCUGGUAUGAGUGAUUAACUUGGUCACCUGGAGCCAGACUAAGUUAAAAGACCAACGGUGGCUCCUGGCAGCCGUGUGAGCUUGGACAAGUCAUGUACCAUCUCCAUUCCUCAGUUUUCUCAUUUGUAAAAUAGGGGUAAUAGUACCUCUUCUCAGGGUUAUCAUGAGAAUGGUAAGUUAAUAUAUGUAAAGGCUUGGUUUAGGUCAUCUCCUAUCUGAGUCGAAACACUUUAGGAGUUCCCAUUGGGUUGAAUUGGAGCUGUUGCUGUCGGCUUAUGCCAGAGCCACAGCAAAGCCAGAUCCGAGCCACGUCUGCAAGCUAUACCACAGCUCACUGCAGUGAGGUCAGGGGUCGAACCCACAACCUCAUGGUUCCUAGUCGGAUUCGUUUCCGCUGCUCCAAGAUGGGAACUCCCAAGAGCAGGUCUCUUAGUGGCUCCUCUUUGGCCAGUGCUUUGGAGCCUCCCUAGAGGUGAGACUCAAAUGUCACCAGCUCUACCCCACUGUGCAGCUACAUCUUGUAUCUUCAUGUCUAGGACCAGAGGCCGGGAACUCUAGGUUCUCAUGCUGGUUUUGCUCCUGACCUGUGUGAGUCUGCUUUCCUUCUAGGCCUCAGUUUCUCCAUCUGUACAGCAAAGGAGUUGGCUUGAAGAGAAUUGAAUGAUUUCAUAUGCCACUUCAGGUCAACUGGUGGUCGCUAGAGAUGUGCAUUAAGAAGGUUUCUGAAACUGUGCCUAGGUUAUAUAGGAAAGAGUACUUGUGAUCGAUUAGUGAUGUCUGGAAUGGACAUGGGAUGGAGGAGCAGGGCUCUGUUUGUCUUGUAUUCACCAUCCUGAAGCUAGAUGCUUAAUUUCUAAAGGGCCCACCUUCUUGAGCCACAGUGUUACAAAUGUUCAAAAUGAGACUCAUUAAUAUUUAGAGUCAAUCUAGGCAUGUCUUACGAAGGCCUCGUUCAAUAUUUCUCAGGUCUGAGAGUGGAAAAGGGUCUUCUAAAUCUCUGUUCCAAUUAUUCAUAAACGCAGCUUGUGGUCAACUAAAGAAAGAGAGAGUUUGGCUCUACGGAAUGGAACUCAUACAGGGGCUGGAGAAGCAUGUGAGGGGGUGGUGACUAGCCUGGGAGGGGAUCGGGUGGCAAGCAUCAUGGAAUUCCAGGGAGCAGGCAGGCCUGAGAGAGUUACCUCUGAAUUUUAAGGCAGUGGAACCCAGGGAGCCAAUCUUACAAAGGUGCCCGGGGCUGGUUCUGCUCAAAGCAAAACCAGUGAUACGACUGGGACAUAGACAGCCUCUCUGGGAACAUCUUCCUGUAGACUCCAGCUCUAGGCCUUGGCUGUUUUGCCCUCCUCCUAACAGAAUUCCCUCCUGGAUGUAUAAAAUGGGCAGGAAGCAAAAGCCAAGAAGGAUUGGCUGGGUUUGGGGCUGCAGAUUUGAGAUUGAAAGCUUUGAGGGUAGAGGGAGAUUUUUUUUCUGGAGUCUCCACAGAAGCCUGAGGUCAUUAUAGGUUGCAAGGUUUGGAGGAGGAGAGAGAAGGGUGAGUAAAGGGCUACCCUUCCUGGCAGUGGUGGUUUUGUUGGAGGGCAUCUGUCGUGCUCCCAAGGGUUUCCCAGCCUGCAGGCAAUUUUCGAAUCCAUAAAGUUCAUAAGUACAGAGCUCAUCAACAAUUAAGCUCAUGUAACCAUCUCUCUCUUUAGAAAUCCAUUGAAAGUUAGAAGAAUGACUUCCAUUGUUCUUUAAAUUUAUUGUCUGCUAACUCAAUCAUGGUUCUUUUAGUAACUUAAUUGUUUCUGAAUUGAGGAACUUCUAACUCAACAUAAGUGUCAGAAAACGAAGUUGAUAGCUUAAAAAACUCGAGUUUAUACCCAGCAAGUACCUUUUCGUAUCUUUAUGCAAUAAGCAUUUCCUAAUAAGUCCUAAACAUACGAGUAAAGGCUGCAGUCUAUAGAGUUAUACAGCUGCUCUCACAAAGAGCUACAGUAGUCAGACAGACCUGGGUUCAAGGUUUCUUCCCUUGCCCUUUGCUGCCACUUACUGGUUGUAUGACCUUGGACAAGUGACUUAACUGACAUGUACCUCAGUUUUCUCAUCUGUAAAAUGAGUAUCUGCCGUGGAGGGCUGUUGCAAGAUUUAGUGAAUUAUUAUACAGAAACCACACAGCAGAGGGGAGUCUCCCACAUAGAAGGUACUUAACAAAUGGUAGCUAUUAUUAUUUUAUUACUAGAGUAAAUGCAAAUUCAUAGUAACUUUUAGUUGCAGUAAAGCAUGACUUCAGUAAUAAAUGCGGUAACAUCUAGAUACAACAGGGUAAAUACAGUAACACAUAGCUAUUGUAAUACAAUUAGAAUCCUGCACACAAUAACAGAAUCAGCUAUGUGGAUAUAGUAACAUAUAGAUAUUAUAAUAUAAUUGCAGUAAUACAGCCACAGUUACAUAUAUACAUAAUCAUUUUUAGCUAUACUAAGCUAGAUUUUUUAUUAUUUUAUUUAAGUAGCAGAGCUACCAUAUCAAAAUACUGCAUCAUACAACAGCCUUAUAUAUAUGUAUUACAAUAGUGUACAGAGAAGUUAGAUACAAUAAAAAUAGAUAUGUUUAAGUCACAACCAGAUAUUCCUUAUAAGGGAUAAAGAGCCAUAGUAAUAGUGGAUCCUAUUAUAUGGUUGCCAUGUCUUAUAGGAAUUGCGAUGUGUAAGUCUGAUAACGUGUAGACAGAGUACUACACAGCCGCAGACCUGAAGGAACACUGGUACAGAUGGGCAAUAUUACAUCCAGCAUUCUCUCUUGCCAUUGGGAUUCAUACCCUUUUGGGGUUGGAGCUUUUCUCAGAAUCACUUGUUCUUGGGGGGAAAAAAACCCCAAAUUUCCCAAAUGCAUUUAUAAGUGGCAAAAUUCUGUGCCCAUAUAGCCCUAGCUCUAGUCUGAUAUUUAAUGUUUAGGUGUCCUGGAUUCAAAUACUUGAGAAUCAGAACAAGGAGAAAUAAUCUCUCAAGAGAUCAGACCUCGGUCCACAGGCAGGCAUAAUCCGGGCUGGUAUCUUAGUCCUCUUCAUGCUUACUGGACUCUGAUUUGAUUUGGCAUUUAGGUGACCCAGACUUCUGACCUCCUGGAGGAAACAAGACCUAUAUUUCUCCCUCUCUGAUCAUGGUUUUAAAAUUUGGCUACUCUUGUUUGCUAGUCUUACCACUGCUGAGGACAUCAGCUUUGUCUGAGCAAAAGUUUCUCUCUCUCCCUCUCUUUCUCUCUCUCUUUUUUUUCAUGGCUGCACCUGUUGCAUAUGGAGGUUCCCAGGCCAGGAGUUGAAUCAGGGCUGUAGUUUCUGGCCUAUACCACAGUCACAGCAAUGUGGGAGAUCAGCUUUGUCUGAGCAAAAUUUAUCUGCCCAUCUGUACCAGUGUUCCUUCAGGUCCGUGGCUGUGUAGUACUCUGUCUGCACGUUAUCAUACUUAACACAUUGCAAUUCCUAUAAGACAUGGCAACCAUAUAAUAGGAUCCACUAUUACUCCUCACUUAACCCACUGAAUGAGGCCAGGGAUUGAACUUGCGUUCUCAUGGAUACUAGCCAGAUUCAUUAUCGCUGAGCUACAACAGGAACUCCCCCAAAAGUCUCUAUUGACCAAAAGGGCAGUUGCAAAUAGCCCAUGCACAGGCUAGUAGAUUCUUUUAUAUGGGGAUGUUGGCAGCUCCUGUGGCUUGGCUAGUGCGUAGGGCAGCUUUGGAAGAGGAGUAACUACUUGGAGGCAGAUGUUGUCCACUGGAGCCAAACUGAUAGAUUUCUUCCUAGUCACAUUUUCCUGGACCAGUUUGGCAACCCAAGUCCUGAAUUCCUUAUAUCAGUUAGUUAUUGCUGCAUAGCAGAUAUCUCAAAGCUUUGUUUAAAGCAACACACAUUCCUUAUUGCUCAUGUGUUUACAGGUCAAGUGGAUAGUUCUUCUGAUCUGGGCCAGGCUUGGUUGGCUUUGGCUUUUAUCCAUCUUUGUUCACCUGACUGGUCUAGAUUGGCCUUGGUUGGAGAACCUGGUUCAAAUGGGGGCUCUUUCAAUGUGUCCCUCACAUCCUUCUAGCAGGCUUGUUCACAGGGCAGGAUUAUGGAAGACUAGGGAGAGGGGAAGGGGGGAGGAAGAAGGGGUAGGAAGAGAGGGAGGGGGAGAGGGAGAAAUGCACUUUCCCCUCUGUUGCAUUCUAUUGGUCACAGAAAAUCACAAGGCCACCCUUAUUCAAGGAGUGAGAAAAUAGAGUCCACUUCUUGAUGGAGGGAGCUGCAAAGUCACAUGGUAAGGGUACCCCUACAGGGAGGACUAGAAGGUGGGAAAUAUUGCUGGAGGUGGGGUGGGGAUUGCUGGAGCCUUUGCAAACCCUCCUUUGGGUCCUUGAGCAGAGCCAAAGCUGCAUUUUGGGAGAGAUUUCCAAUCCUGUGUGCCUGAUGCCUGUUCCAUGUGGGUAGUAAAGCACAUUGUCUGGUCCUUAACCCUCAUAAGCUCCUCCUUCCUUUGGCCUGUUUGCCCUAGGUUACCCCACUCUGACACAAAGGGGGGUCUCCUUUGGCUUCUACUGACUUGCACCUUGCAGGUUUUCCCCCAGUGAUCUGGGCCACAUUUCCUUAAUGAGAAUUUGAAAUCUGGACUCAGAGAACUGGAAAUCUUGGACCAGUUAGUGGUGAGUGGAAUUUCAUGGUGUAGAGCCAGGACUAGAGAAGGGAACAGAGCAGACUCUCAUCUCUCUGAGAGUGGAGAGAGCCAUGUGAACUGGAAAGGAGAUGGAAGGAGAAGCAGCCUUGUCUUUCUGCUCUCCUGCUUCUGUAAAGCUUGGGUGAACUUUGUUUUCUGUCUCUGAGUUCCUUAAAACCUCUAUUUCCUUUUAAUACCUUCUUCAUUUUCUAUUUUUUUGCAACCCAACACUGUUGGUUAUAGGGCCCCCUUUGGGAGGGAAGGCAGGCCAGACAGCUUCUAUGACAGAGUGCCCACCAGCAGUUCAAGGGUAUCCUUCCCUAGAUGCCAGAGCAUGUGCUGUCCUGGGUCUCACUGAGAGCUCCAUCUUGAAAAAACUAGCUCUCUUUAUCCAGCUUCUGCCUCAAAUCAGAGAAACAAUUGCUAUCUGAGAAAGAGAGAGGAUAAGAGGGUCACUGAUGGGAGUUCCUGUUGUGGCUCAGCAGGUUAAGAACCCAACCAAUAUUCGUGGGAAUGCAGUUUGAUCGCUGGCCUUGCUCGGUGGGUUAAGGAUCCAGCAUUGCUGUGAGCUGUGGUAUAGGCUGCAGACAUGGGUCAGAUCUGGUGUUGCUGUGGCUGUGGUGUAGGCCAGCAGCUGCAGCUCUGUUUCAACCCCUAGCCUGGGAACUUCCAUAUGCUGCGGGUGUGGCCCUCCCCCCCAAAACGGGUCACUGACAUUUACUUAUGAACAUAAAAUAAUCUUUACCUUUGGGAAAGAGACAUAUAACUCACUAGCCACAAAGAUCAUUUCUCUAAACUAGGUUUGAAUAUACUUCCUUUUACUUUUAUAUAGGGCCGACAUCUCAAAAUAAUUCCUACACAUUUUAAACUCUUAUUGAAAGCAUUGUCAAAAAAAUAUUCUCUCUAGAAAGUCCUGUGUGAUCAAUUGCUUUAAGAAUUCACUGAUAGGACUUCCCUGAUGGCACAGUGGGUUAAAGAUCCAGCAUUGUCACUGCUGUGGCUCAGGCUGCAGUCGUGGUACGGUUUGAGCUCUGGCCCAGGAAUUUCUGCAUGCCCUGGGCAUGGCCAACAAAAGGGAAUUCACUGAUAGACAGAAGUUAUGAAGAAUGUUUUAUGAGAGAGACCCAAUCUUUUCUCUUUGUGCCAUUGCUGCCAGGAAACUCACACCCAAGUUGGCCACUUGAUCACUUGCACAUAGUUCCGGAUAAUUUCCCAUGUUUUUCUGUCUGAAAAUGCUCUCUGGCUGUGGGAAUGGGCUUUGCAAUCUUCAAUCAAUGGAGGAUGAGAGUUGGUGGAUUGGAAACCAAUUAAACCAAUUAAAUAUAUGUUUUGCUGCCAUAACACAUUACCACAAACUUAAUGGUUUAAAACAGCACAAAUUCAUUAUUUUACCAUUCUAGAGGUCAAAAAUCUGAAAUGGGUCUUAAGGGCUAAAAUCAAGGUGUUGGUAGAACUGUAUUUCUUCUUAAGACUCUGGGGGAGGAUCUGUUUUGUUGCUUUUUCUAUUGUCUAGAAUCUGAUUUCCUUGGCUCAUGGCCCCUUCCUCCAUCUUCAAAGUCAGGAAUAUUAUAUCUUCCAAUCUAUCUCUCUGACCCUCUCAUAAAAAUAUUUGUGAUUGUAUUAGGUUCUCCAAGAUAAUCCAGAAUUAUCUAUCCAUGUCAAGACCCUUAACUUACUUACAUCUGCAAAGUUCCUUUUGCCAUAUAAGGUAACAUAUUCAGGUUCUGGAGAUUAGGAUGGAUGUCAUUGAGGGGGCACUAUUCAGCCUACCACAAUAGACACAUCUCAGCUUCCUUGGCCAACUGAUGGGAAAAUUCUGAGGUCUGGUCUAUAGCCUCACGAAGGAUCCUUAGAGAUAUUGAGCCCAGUUGCUCAAAGCAGUAACCCACUCAUAGCCACAUCUUUAUUAGUAUUCUUUUCUUCUUGUGUUCCCACUUUCUCACUGGGCUCACUUCUCAAGUAAACUCCUUGCACCCAAACUUUGUGUCUGAGACUUGGUGUCCCAAACUGAAAUAGGAACCAUAUCAGCCUCCUUCUUUGCAUUCCUUUGCAUUUCUCAUUUUUUAACAGUUUUAUUACUAAAAAAAAAAAAAAAAAAAAAAAAA